UACGAAGGGAGCUAGCGUUGUUCGGAAUCACUGGGCGUAAAGCGCACGUAGGCGGACCAUCAAGUUGGGGGUGAAAUCCCGGGGCUCAACCCCGGAACUGCCUUCAAAACUGUUGGUCUGGAGGUCGAGAGAGGUGAGUGGGAAUUCCGAAGUGUAGAGGUGAAAUUCGUAGAUAUUCGGAGGAACACCAGUGGCGAAGGCGGCUCACUGGCUCGAUACUGACG
rnacentral:rRNA from 1 species